AUUGAACGCUGGCGGCAGGCUUAACACAUGCAAGUCGAGCGGGGGAAGGUAGCUUGCUACUGGACCUAGCGGCGGACGGGUGAGUAAUGCUUAGGAAUCUGCCUAUUAGUGGGGGACAACAUCUCGAAAGGGAUGCUAAUACCGCAUACGUCCUACGGGAGAAAGCAGGGGAUCUUCGGACCGUGCGCUAAUAGAUGAGCCUAAGUCGGAUUAGCUAGUUGGUGGGGUAAAGGCCUACCAAGGCGACGAUCUGUAGCGGGUCUGAGGGGAUGAUCCGCCACACUGGGACUGAGACACGGCCCAGACUCCUACGGGAGGCAGCAGUGGGGAAUAUUGGACAAUGGGGGGAAACCUGAUCCAGCCAUGCCGCGUGUGUGAAGAAGGCCUUAUGGUUGUAAAGCACUUUAAGCGAGGAGGAGGCUACUCUAGUUAAUACCUAGGGAUAGUGGACGUUACUCGCAGAAUAAGCACCGGCUAACUCUGUGCCAGCCGCCGCAGUAA
rnacentral:rRNA from 1 species